rnacentral:rRNA from 1 species
GAUCAUGGCUCAGGACGAACGCUGGCGGCGCGCCUAACACAUGCAAGUCGAACGAGCGAGAGAGAGCUUGCUUUCUCAAGCGAGUGGCGAACGGGUGAGUAACGCGUGAGGAACCUGCCUCAAAGAGGGGGACAACAGUUGGAAACGACUGCUAAUACCGCAUAAGCCCACGGCUCGGCAUCGAGCAGAGGGAAAAGGAGCAAUCCGCUUUGAGAUGGCCCCGCGUCCGAUUAG